AACGAACGCUGGCGGCAGGCUUAACACAUGCAAGUCGAGCGCCCCGCAAGGGGAGCGGCAGACGGGUGAGUAACGCGUGAGAAUCUACCCAUCCCUACGGAAUAGCUCCGGGAAACCGGAAUUAAUACCGUAUACGCCCUACGGGGGAAAGAUUUAUCGGGGAUGGAUGAGCCCGCGUUGGAUUAGCUAGUUGGUGGGGUAAAGGCCUACCAAGGCGACGAUCCAUAGCUGGUCUGAGAGGAUGAUCAGCCACAUUGGGACUGAGACACGGCCCAAACUCCUACGGGAGGCAGCAGUGGGGAAUAUUGGACAAUGGGGGCAACCCUGAUCCAGCCAUGCCGCGUGAGUGAUGAAGGCCUUAGGGUUGUAAAGCUCUUUCACCGGGGAAGAUAAUGACGGUACCCGGAGAAGAAGCCCCGGCUAACUUCGUGCCAGCAGCCGCAGUAA
rnacentral:rRNA from 1 species